rnacentral:rRNA from 1 species
UACGGAGGGCGCGAGCGUUAAUCGGAAUUACUGGGCGUAAAGCGCGCGUAGGCUGUUGUGUAAGUUGGGGGUGAAAUCCCACGGCUCAACCGUGGAACAGCCCUUGAUACUGCGCGACUUGAAUCCGGGAGAGGGUGGCGGAAUUCCAGGUGUAGGAGUGAAAUCCGUAGAUAUCUGGAGGAACAUCAGUGGCGAAGGCGGCCACCUGGACCGGUAUUGACGCUGAGGCGCGAAAGCGUGGGGAGCAAAUAGG